rnacentral:lncRNA from 1 species
AACCAAAUGGGGUGGUGUGAGUAUCUCCUAUAAAAUAAAAGCUCUCCUGAUGGCCUGUUCCUGCACAUUUCCUGAGGACGCCCUCGAUCACAAGCAGCUUGCUGGAUGAAUAAAGGAAAGAAGGUUUAUAUACACUAAUAAUAGAAAUGUUUUGGGAUGGUUCAUGAUUUCGAAAAGCUUCAGAGAAAAUAAAGAUGCUUAAUGUUAGAGUACAAAACAUUCUCCCUGCAGUCUCACGAACUGUGAACAAAAACUGAAGUGAAAACUCAUAGUGCAUAACUCGUCAAUACUCCUGUGAUCGUAUAACCAUCAGCAAGAAAACAAAUUUGAUUGAGCCCCCAUCCAGUCCUCUUUGCGUGGAAUCAGACCUCUUUUGCAGUGGAAAGGAGCAGGUAAAACAAAUAAGCAGAGGCACAAAAUCAUCACCAAACCAGACUCACUGAAAUGCCAACACUGGCAUGUGCGCAGACAUUUUCUAUUCUGGACUUACUUCUAAACAGCAAUGCCAACAAGCAUGAGAGAGAAUGUGACUUUCCUGAACAACAGGAGCAAGAAUCAAUGCCAGA